GGUUCGGCUGUGCCUGUUACAUUCUGUGAUGACUCUGGAUAACUUUACUGAUCGCAGUCGGCCUUGUGUCGGCGACGGAUCUUUCAAAUGUCUGCCCUAUCAAUUUGUUGGUAGGUGAUUUGCCUACCAUGAUGAUAACGGGUAACGGGGAAUCAGGGUUCGAUUCCGGAGAGGGAGCCUGAGAAAUGGCUACCACAUCCAAGGACGGCAGCAGGCGCGAAAAUUACCCACUCCCGGCACGGGGAGGUAGUGACGAAAAAUACGUAUACGGGACUCAAUUGAGGCUCCGUAAUUCGAAUGAGUACAAUUUAAAUCCUUUAACGAGGACCAAUUGGAGGGCAAGUCUGGUGCCAGCAGCCGCGGUAACUCCAGCUCCAAAAGCGUAUAUUAAAGUUGCUGCAGUUAAAAAGCUCGUAGUUGAAUCUGGGUCGUGCGGUCGCAUGCCGUUGCUUGUUCACGGUUUUGGUUACGAUCAGGACCAGUGUUCAGCUCGGUGUAGUGGCUGUGCAGCCUUUCAGCCGUGUCUGUGUUAAACGGGUGCUGGUGGGUUGACGAGUUCGUCUUGUUGACCUGUCGGCAUGCUUCCGGAUGCCUUUAAACGGGUGUCGGGAGCGGACGGCAUCUUUACUUUUGAACAAAUUUGAGUGCUCAAAGCAGGCCUAUGUGCCUGAAAAUUCUUGCAUGGAAUAAUGAAAUAGGACUUCGGUUCUAUUUUGUUGGUUUUCGGAUCCGAAGUAAUGGUUAAGAGGGACAGACGGGGGCAUUUGUAUGGCGGUGUUAGAGGUGAAAUUCUGGGAUCGCCGCCAGACAAACUACAGCGAAAGCAUUUGCCAAGAAUGUUUUCAUUGAUCAGGAGCGAAAGUCAGAGUUUCGAAGACGAUCAGAUACCGUCGUAGUUCUGACCAUAAACGAUGCCAACUGACGAUCCGCGUUGGUUCUAUAAUUGACAUCGCGGGCAGUCCCCGGGAAACCUUUAAGUCUUUGGGCUCCGGGGGGAGUAUGGUUGCAAAGCUGAAACUUAAAGGAAUUGACGGAAGGGCACCACCAGGAGUGGAGCCUGCGGUUUAAUUCGACUCAACACGGGAAAACUCACCCGGCCCGGACACUGUGAGGAUUGACAGAUUGAUAGCUCUUUCUUGAUUCGGUGGGUGGUGGUGCAUGGCCGUUCUUAGUUGGUGGAGCGAUUUGUCUGGUUAAUU
rnacentral:rRNA from 1 species